rnacentral:rRNA from 1 species
UGGGGAAUUUUGGACAAUGGGCGCAAGCCUGAUCCAGCAAUGCCGCGUGCAGGAUGAAGGCCUUCGGGUUGUAAACUGCUUUUGUACGAAGAGAACGAACGUCCUCUCUCAUAAUCAGGGGGUGAUGACGGUACCGUAAGAAUAAGCACCGGCUAACUACGUGCCAGCAGCCGCGGUAAUACGUAGGGUGCAAGCGUUAAUCGGAAUUACUGGGCGUAAAGCGUGCGCAGGCGGUUUUGUAAGACAGUGGUGAAAUCCCCGGGCUCAACCUGGGAACUGCCAUUGUGACUGCAAGGCUGGAGUGCGGCAGAGGGGGAUGGAAUUCCGCGUGUAGCAGUGAAAUGCGUAGAUAUGCGGAGGAACACCGAUGGCGAAGGCAAUCCCCUGGGCCUGCACUGACGCUCAUGCACGAAAGCGUGGGGAGCAAAACAGGAUUAGAUACCCUGGUAGUCCACGCCCUAAACGAUGUCAACUGGUUGUUGGGGAUUUAUUUCUUCAGUAACGAAGCUAACGCGUGAAGUUGACCGCCUGGGGGAGUACGGCCGCAAGGUUAAAAACUCAAAAGGAAUUGACGGGGUCAUAGCUGUUUCCU